UACAUGGAUUUAUUGUGAAGGUGUAGACUAUAUUACAUGGAUUUAUUGUGAAGGUGUAGGCUAUAUUACAUGGAUUUAUUGUGAAGGUGUAGACUAUAUUACAUGGAUUUAUUGUGAAGGUGUAGACUAUAUUACAUGGAUUUAUUGUGAAGGUGUAGGCUAUAUUACAUGGAUUUAUUGUGAAGGUGUAGGCUAUAUUACAUGGAUUUAUUGUGAAGGUGUAGGCUAUAUUACAUGGAUUUAUUGUGAAGGUGUAGGCUAUAUUACAUGGAUUUAUUGUGAAGGUGUAGACUAUAUUACAUGGAUUUAUUGUGAAGGUGUAGGCUAUAUUACAUGGAUUUAUUGUGAAGGUGUAGACUAUAUUACAUGGAUUUAUUGUGAAGGUGUAGGCUAUAUUACAUGGAUUUAUUGUGAAGGUGUAGGCUAUAUUACAUGGAUUUAUUGUGAAGGUGUAGACUAUAUUACAUGGAUUUAUUGAGAAGGUGUAGACUAUAUUACAUGGAUUUAUUGUGAAGGUGUAGACUAUAUUACAUGGAUUUAUUGUGAAGGUGUAGGCUAUAUUACAUGGAUUUAUUGUGAAGGUGUAGGCUAUAUUACAUGGAUUUAUUGUGAAGGUGUAGGCUAUAUUACAUGGAUUUAUUGUGAAGGUGUAGGCUAUAUUACAUGGAUUUAUUGUGAAGGUGUAGGCUAUAUUACAUGGAUUUAUUGUGAAGGUGUAGACUAUAUUACAUGGAUUUAUUGUGAAGGUGUAGGCUAUAUUACAUGGAUUUAUUGUGAAGGUGUAGGCUAUAUUACAUGGAUUUAUUGUGAAGGUGUAGGCUAUAUUACAUGGAUUUAUUGUGAAGGUGUAGGCUAUAUUACAUGGAUUUAUUGUGAAGGUGUAGACUAUAUUACAUGGAUUUAUUGUGAAGGUGUAGGCUAUAUUACAUGGAUUUAUUGUGAAGGUGUAGACUAUAUUACAUGGAUUUAUUGUGAAGGUGUAGGCUAUAUUACAUGGAUUU